rnacentral:rRNA from 1 species
UACAGAGGUCUCAAGCGUUGUUCGGAUUCAUUGGGCGUAAAGGGUGUGUAGGUGGCGCGCUAAGUCGGGUGUGAAAUUUCGGAGCUUAACUCCGAAACUGCAUUUGAUACUGGCGAGCUUGAGGACUGGAGAGGAGACUGGAAUUCACGGUGUAGCAGUGAAAUGCGUAGAGAUCGUGAGGAAGACCAGUGGCGAAGGCGGGUCUCUGGACAGUUCCUGACACUGAGGCACGAAGGCCAGGGGAGCAAACGGG